GGGAAAGUUGUGUCGUGACACGGUCGGGCAGUGGUCCAUUCGUCGCCGUUCCCUCCCCCCCUGAGGCCCGUCCCGUCCCUCUGCCUAAGUGCUGUGUGUUUUUGUUUUUGGCUUGCUGUGUACGUGUACGGAUGGUGUAGUUGUAUGCAGAUGCUAAUGUGCGCUUGUGUUGGUUUGAUUUGUCAAUUUGGAGAACUGUCAGAGUCCGCAGGAAGCCGCCAGCCUAUUUGAUUUCGCUGCUUUGACAGGAAUCAGGUGAUCGGCGCAGGGCUCUGGGCGCGUGCCAACUGAAAGGGAAGAUGUCUUGGCUGCUGUCGCGCCUCCCACACGGAAUUGUUUUCAACCGCACGACAUCGCUUCUAUUGUUAAUUAUUUGUUGAUGUUAUUUAUCAGAUUAUCAGAUGUAGAGAAUAGCGUACUGUUCACCUGGUCUAAAAUUGACCCGGGAUUUGUUGAGAGAGUAAACGCGACCUAGGCGAGACAA